UCCUGGAUAUGGAUUUGUGGCAGGCCCCUCCCCUGUGCCUCUGAUAGUGCCCAGCCUGGGGCAGACUAGCCCAGAAGCUCUGCCUGACCUCUGUCCUUAGGCUUCUGGCACUGAAACAGGUUGCACAGUG
ensembl:snoRNA